rnacentral:rRNA from 1 species
UACGUAGGGGGCAAGCGUUGUCCGGAAUCAUUGGGCGUAAAGCGCGUGUAGGCGGCUGGCUAAGUCCGCUCUGAAAGCCCGGGGCUCAACCCCGGGAGGCGGGUGGAUACUGGCCAGCUCGAGUCCGGAAGAGGAGUGUGGAAUUCCUGGUGUAGCGGUGAAAUGCGCAGAUAUCAGGAGGAACACCAAUGGCGAAGGCAGCACUCUGGGACGGUACUGACGCUGAGACGCGAAAGCGUGGGGAGCAAACAGG